rnacentral:ribozyme from 1 species
UUUUUCCAUGUUCCCUGUUGUUUUUUACUUUUCCAAUCUUGCCGUCCAAUGAACAGACCAAGUCCAGAAGAAGGCGGAAAAUGGACCAGAAGAAGGAAUCUACUGCUGUUAAAGAAAAGAAAGAAAAAUCUAAGAGUAUGCCAGAUCAUGAUUCAGACGACCCCGAUGAUAUUGACCGUUUUGUAAAUUUCCAUUUGAUAAAGUCAAAGGAAAGAGAAGAGAAG